UACGUAGGUGGCAAGCGUUGUCCGGAUUUAUUGGGUUAAAGGGUGCGUAGGCGGUCCUAUAAGUCAGUGCUGAAAUAUCCCGGCUUAAACCGGGAGGGUGGCAUUGAUACUGCAGGACUUGAGUAAAGUUGAGGUAGGCGGAAUUGACGGUGUAGCGGUGAAAUGCUUAGAUAUCGUCAAGAACACCGAUAGUGUAGACAGCUUACUAAGCUUAACUGACGCUGAGGCACGAAAGUGUGGGGAGUCAAACAGG
rnacentral:rRNA from 1 species